GUUCCUAUGGCUUUAUGAUGUAUAAAAAUGAAUUUCGACCAAAGGUCAAAAUCUAGAACGUCCAAUUUACCUAUGACCUUGACCUCAAUUUCAAGGUCAUAAACAUAGGAUCCCAAAUCAAAAGACCCUAGGUCUGUAUUAUGUAUGGUUCAUGAGUAAUAUCACUUUACGCAUAAUUCUAAAUAUAAGAUGGGCGAAAACUCCCAUUUAUUGUCUACGCACCCUUGUAACCAAAAUUUAUAAGUAACGACAUGUCGCAACUAACAAUUUAGUAAAAAAAAUUGUCGAUAUCUUAUAAGGUUAAUGAAAAAAGGUGAAAAUAAGCCAAAAUCAAAAUUUAGAAUUUGACCUUGACCUUUGACCUUGACCUAAUUUUCAUUUUUUUGGACCAAGGAUCUAAAAUCAAAAGACCCUAGGUCUCUAUCACUUAUGGUUUACCAGUUAGAAAUGCAUAUUACUUAUAUCAUAUAUAAAAGGGGGGAUAACUCUCAUAUGGAGUCUCCGGAUAGCUUCGGUCAAAAUGAAACAGAACAUCCUGAGGAUAUAACGAGCAAUUUGGAAAAAUAAAUUUGUCGGUUUCUUAUACGGUUGUGGAGCCUUAGUGGCCACAAGAAAAACAGUGUUCGGGGAGAUAACUCUUACAAGGUAAAAGUUUUUUGUUACGCGGUGUCAGUUUCAGAAGCGCAUUAACUGUUCGAUAUCAUAUACCAUAUAUCUAAGCGACAUCUUGUGAAACAAAAAAACAGCGAAGGAAAAAAAAGUUGGUGGAAGAAAAAAAAAAAUAAUAAUAAUAAUAAUAAUUAAAAACCAAUUGUUCAAAGAACAAUUGAAGGUCUUUCAACCAAUAAAGAUCUAUUUAGAUAUGAAAAUAUUAAAAUUCAGUUGAAAAUGUCAGUUCCUAUGGCUUAAUGAUGUAUAAAUAUGAAUUUAAGCAAAGGUCAAAAUCUAGAACGUCCAAUUAACCUAUGACCUUGACCUCAAUUUCAAGGUCAUAGACUAAACAUCUCAAAUAAAAAGACACUAGUUCCUUAAUAUGUAUGGUUCAUGAGUAAAUCACUUUACGCAUAAUUCUUAAUAUAAGAGGGGCGAAAACUCCCUUUUAUUGUUUACGCACCCUCGCAACCAAAAUUUAUAAGUUACGACAUGUCGCAACUAACAAUUUAGUAAAAAAAAAAUUGUCGAUAUCUUAUAAGGUUAAUGAAAAAAGGUGAAAAUAAGCCAAAAUCAAAAUUAAGAAUUUGACCUUGACCUUUGACCUUGACCUAAUUUUCAUUUUUUUAGACCAAGGAUCUUAAAUCAAAAGACCCUAGGUCUCUAUCACUUAUAGUUUACCAGUUAGAAAUGCAUAUCACUGAUAUCAUAUAUAAAAGGGGGGAUAACUCUCAUAUGGAGUCUCCGGAUAGCUUCGGUUGAAAUGAAACAGAACAUCCUAAGGAUAUAACGAGCAAUUUGGAAAAAAUAAAUUUGUCGGUUUUUCUUAUACGGUUGCGAAGGAGUAGUUGGCCACAAGAAAAACAGUGUUCGGGAGAUAACUCUUACAAGGUAAAGUUUUUGUUACGCGGUGUCAGUUUCAGAAGCGUAUAAACUGUUCGAUAUCAUUACCAAAUAUCUAAGCGACAUCUUGUGAAACAAAAAACAGCGAAGGAAAAAAAAGUUGGCGGAAGAAAAAAAAAAAAAAAAAAAUUAAAAACCAAUUGUUCAAAGAACAAUUGAAGGUCUUUCAACCAAUAAGGAUCUAUUUUGAUAUGAUGAAAUAUAAAAAGAUUCAGUUGAAAAUGUCAGUUCCUAUGGCUUAUGAUGUAUAAAAUAUGAAUUUCGAGCAAAGGUCAAAAUCUAGAACGUCCAAUUAACCUAUGACCUUGACCUCAAUUUCAAGGUCAUAAACAUAGGAUCCCAAAUCAAAAGACCCUAGGUCUGUAUUAUGUAUGGUUCAUGAGUAAUAUCACUUUACGCAUAAUUCUAAAUAUAAGAGGGGCAAAAACUCCCAUUUAUUGUCUACGCACCCUUGUAACCAAAAUUU
rnacentral:lncRNA from 1 species